CAAAGCGUUUGGUGUUCGCAGCGGAAAAUCGAAAGCGGCAUCCAAGCAAUCAGCACACAAAAAAACACAACAAAUAUAGGAAAUAUAGGAAAGGAAAGCUGCUAAGUGAAACUUUGAAAACGGGCGCGAGCAAGUGAGCAGCGGCGGCGGCAGAAUCAGCAGCCGAAGUGAAGUAGCAAGCCAAGCGCAGGCCAAAGUGCAAAUGAAAAAGUGUGAAUAAAUUGUGAAGCAAUCAGUUGAGAUAAACAGUGAUGGAAUAAAGGAUACCGGACUUCGAAGGACAUUUGCCAGAAGCUGAAUCGAGAAGGAUAAACUUUCGGCCCGCUAUGCCCAGCAAUCGUGUGGGUCCGCCGACUGAGUGCGUGGAGUGCGAGGAGCCCGGUUGCAGAUAGAAAUUCAGAUUCAAAUUCAGAUUCAGCGUCAGCUACAGAUACAGAUACAAAUUAAUUUGGCGCCCGAGCUGAACAUGUGUCAAGGCUGCGGGCUGCUUGAAGCUGCUUCUGUAACAACCGCGACGAUGCUGUUUGAUUUCGGCCAACUUAGGUAAACAGGCAAGGCGAAGGCACACACCACCACACACUCAAUCGCAGGCAAAGCCGCAGAAAAACAAACCAAUAAACCAGGCAAAUGGCAGCGCCCGUCGACGAGAGUGUGCUGAAUGCACUGAGGGGCGUGACCUCCGCCCACACCCGCCUGCCCAAGCCGCUGCUGAUCAAGAUCUACGUGGCCAGCCUGAAGCAGGAGUUCAACCAGGAGCGCCGCAUGCUCCUCGAGCUGGUCGGUCCCGAGCUGCAGACCCUCUACGAUGACCGACAAAUCGAGCUGGAGUUCGUGGACAUGCACUUUGGCACUGGCGACCUGGAGAUUAACCAGCUGGAGCGGGAUCCCUAUUUGAUCGAUGACUAUCUGCACGAGAUCGACACCUGCCACGCCCACACAAAGAGUGUCUUUUUUAUGGUGCUCGUGGGCGAUGGCAUUGGUCGCCAGCUCCUGCCCACCAAAAUGGAUGAGGACAUCUUCACCGCAGUGCUGGCCGAUCCACAGAUCACAGCUGAUCAAGAGGCCCUACUAGUUAAGUGGUACGAAAAUGAUGAAUCUCAAUCGAAGCGGCAACUUAAGCAGGAUUAUCGACUGCUGCCCGUGGAUGCCUGGCUUGCAGAAUCACAGCAGAUGCAGCGAUUUCUGGAGGUGACCCUGCAAUCGCUGGUCCAAAAGGCCAGUGCAUCUGACCGAUCGGCGGAUUUUGUGGAUCGGGUUCAGCAACUUCGACGCACACAGAUCGAAAGAGAGGUCACACAAGCCAUGGCUCUUACUAGCGAAAAAAUCUUGGCAGUUUUUCGAGAACGUGCCGCGCAGAGCAGCAAGCGUGAUGUCGAGGCUUUAGAAAGACUGCGGAAAAUCAAGGACGAGCUCACCAUGAACCUCUCAACGGAUAAUCACACAACUCUGGUGGUGCCUGGUAGUGCUGCCAGCGAGGCCAUCGAUCCGGACAACGAGGACCACGAGUCCUACCUGAGCAAGUUCAAGAACAAGGUCACCGACAAGCUGCGCCUGCUAAUCGAGGCACACAUAACCAAUGAUCCCGACGUAAUCAAGGGGAGGAAAAAGACUGUGCAGGAAAUCUUUCACGAGCACGCGACGCACCUGCGCAUCCUGCGGGAGCACACGGACAGUGCCGCCCUGGUGGAGUCGCGGGUGCCGCAACAGCUCCGCCAGAAUCUGAUGGCCAACUUUCGGAACGGAAGUCGACAUGCGCCGUACUUCAUCUGCGGGGCGGACGGGAGCGGCAAGAGCGCCAUUUUGAGCCACCUGUACGUGCAGGUGGGCAGUUGGUUCGGGUCGUCCACGCGCGUUCACCGGGUGAUCCGCUUUGCCAAGGCCACGCCCCGAUCCGCCUACAACCUGGAGCUGCUGCGCGUCGUGUGCCAGCAGAUCUCCAUAAUCUUCAACAUCCCGGAGGGCUAUUUGCCCAAGGACGCCUCCUUCGAUCCGCUGUACAUCAACACCUGGUUCCAGAAUCUCCUUCGGAAGGUGGAGGACAUGGCCAACGAUGUCCUGUUCCUGUUCAUCGACGAUCUGCAUCUGCUGAAUCCGCUGGACUGCGAUAUUGUCACGGCCCUGUCGUGGCUGCCCACCUCGCUGCCCUGGAACGUUCAGAUCAUCUGCAGUUCCACCACGCCCGUGGAGCAGCUUAAGUUCACCCCGAUGCAGCGGGAUCGCUUCAAGUCCGCCGAGUACCAGUUCGACCUGAGUCUGGGCGACUACGCCGCCCGGCUCAAGAUUCCGCCGCAGUGCAUCCCGAGCGACGUGAGCUUCGCCCUUUACGUGGAGCAGCAGUUCGACCAGCUGGAGCGGCACUACGGCCGUCAGGCGGUGGGCGGACUGGCGUCCUACAUCACCUGCUCCGAGUACGGGCUGAGUGAGACGGAGCUGCUGGAGCUGCUCAUGCCCACCGACGACCCGGAGUCACUCAUCGAGACCAAGAGCGGUCACUUCUCCUUUGCCACCUUCAAGAAGAUCCACCGCGAGAUGGACCUAUUGCUGCUCCUGCACGACAAGAUAAUGUCCGGCAAGGUGCUGAUCCAGUGGCGUCACAACUACUGCUCGUCGGUGGCCAAGCGGCGGUACAUGGACGUCCAGAGGACGCGCAGCCUGCACAGCGAGCUGGCCAACCUGUUCUUCCCGCAGGACGAGGACGAGAGCACGCUGGAGAACGAGUCGAAUCGCAGCGAAACGAAGUCGGUGAUCAGCCUGAAGGAGAGGGAGCGUGAGAAGGACUCGCUGUCGGCGGUGUCGGCCGUUUCCGCCGGGCGGAAGUCAUCGUCCACCCAUCACAACGACGACACCUCCACCUUCUACAAUCCCAUUGCGGCGGAUGUCAGCUACAGCAUGCGGCACGUGGAGGAGAGCUGGCACCACCUGAUGCGAUCCGACGACACCACCCGGUUCAAGCAGAUCGCUGUCUGCAACUUCGACUUCCUGCUGGCGGCGGUACAAACGGUGUCGAUCAGCUACCUGCGCUGCCUGAUUGAGCACGUACGCUGCUACAUCCUGGACAGGGAUAUCGAGCUGAUCUACUACACGAUCCGGAAGUCGAGCGAUGUCCUUACCCGCGACCCCAUGCAGCUGGGCUCCCAGCUGAUAUCCUGGCUGCGUCCGAUCAGCGAGCACGACGACGACGACAACUCGCUGCUGAGCAUGACGGUCCGCUCGGCGACCGCCUGGUGCGACGGCUAUGCGGUACCGCUCCUGGUGCCGCUCACCGGCUGGCUGCCCGCCCCUCUGCCCUCGCAGAUCCGCACCAUGACGGUAUCCGGAACGGGAUGCAUUCGGGCCGUCUUUCUGGCCCCCACCAAGCAGCAUCUCAUCCUGGCCACCAGUUCUGGCGACGUGCAGCAGUGGCACAUCAUGAGCAACUCGCUGGAGCACAUCUUCAAGGGACACACUGCGGCAGUCACGUGCCUCCUGGUGGCUCCCCAGUCGGAGUCGGAGUUGCUGCUGACCGGCUCCGAGGAUGGCACUGUGCUCGUGUGGCACGUAGGGUUCCGCGAGCGACGGGCGCACAUUAACAACGCCCACACGGCUCCCAUUACGGGCGUGGCAGCUGGCGUCAAUAACACGCUCAUCAUAAGCAGCAGCGAGGAUGCAACCAUCGCCAUCACGGACCUGGCCAGCGGCAAACUGAGACAUCGCAUCACCCAUCACCGCGGGCCGGUGAGUGGGAUUUUGGUGGCCGGGGCCUGCGAUGUCCUGAUCUCGGGCAGUCACGACAGGACCAUUUGCGUUUGGAACCUGGAGAACUUCUGCCUGCUGAAUACCAUGCAGAUGACGAGUCCCGUGCUCCGCAUCGACAUUUCCUGUAACUCGGUUUUCCUGUUGGCUUUGUGUGAGGACAAUGCGUUGUAUGUUCGUACUUUGGCCACCGGAAAGGAGCUGCAUACUCUUAAGGGACACAAGUCGAAGAUCCGCACCAUCUCGAUCGGCAAGGAUAGUCAGCGUUGUGUGGUGGGCUGCGAUGACACGCGGGCGCUGAUCUACGACAUGCACGCCGGUAAACUGGUAAGAUCCAUGCCCCCGAAUCCGGGGCCAGUGACCGCCGUGCAUGCGAUGGACAACGACGACUUCCUGGUCACCGUCGGCGGCAACAAGAUUACCUUCUACUCGUUCCGCAACGAGGAGCUCUACGUGAAUCCCUACUCGCGUCAUCCGCGUCGCAAGCGCAGCUUGAAGCGCCAUGCGCAGGCGCAGCGAUCGCCGUCGACCACAUUGCCACCGAUCACCUGCUUCGACCUGUCCCGCGACUCCCAGCAAAUGGCCAUCGCCUCCGGCCGCAGUGUCCACCUGAUGCGAAUCAAUACGCCGGAGUACCAGUGCACGCUGGAGGGUCAUUCGGCCGGGGUUUCCUGCCUGAAGUUUGCGCCGAAUGGCGAGUUCCUGGCCACCGGCUCCGAGGAUCGAUUGGUGCUCAUUUGGAACCUGGCACAGGGGGAGAUCAGCCAUACGUUUAAGGGUCAUGCCGCACCGGUGGUCAAGGUGGUGGUCCUGAUGGACUCUCUGCGCGUUAUCUCCACGGAUCGGGACUCUCUGCUGCUCGUUUGGAUGGCCCACUCGGGCAAUCUGCUGCAGACCAUCCAGGGACCCUACAAGAGUCUGGCCGUAACCAACAACAUGCGGUUUGCCGCCUCCACCAACGGGGAUAACACCCUCAAGAUCUGGUCACUCACGCAGGAGGACGAGAAGUACUCCGUUUCGCACUCGGAUGAGAUCACCUGCUUCGAGAUCAGUGCGGAUAGUGCCCACAUCAUCAGCGGAUCACGGGACAUGUCCUUGAAGGUCUGGCAGGCGACGGGCGGCAAGCUCAGCCAGGUGCUGGUGGGGCACAGCGAUGCCGUCACCUGCGUGGCCGUUUCGGUGACCAACAAGACCCAGGUGUUGUCCGGCUCCAAGGACACGAAUCUCAUCAUCUGGGACCUGCUCACCGGCGAGGAGGUGCACACGCUGGCAGGACAUCUGGGCCCAGUGAUUGGCGUUAAAGUUUCGGCAGAUGGUUCCACUGCAGUUUCGGGAAGCGAUGACAAGACCCUGAUCGUUUGGGAGACCAAGCGUGGAUUGGCUCUGACCUCGCUCCAAAUGCAUGUGCCCUUCACCCACUUUGACAUCAGUUUGGAGGUGUCUCGAGUUCUGGUCCAACUGGUGGACAGCUACAAUCUCCCCGUGAUUUGUUUACACAACACCCCGGCGCAGUACGUCAAGCUGCCCACUUAUUCGGGUCCCAGCAAGGAUGUUGAAGAUCUGCGACCGCAGGGACCCAAGCGGCAGAUGAAGCGGCUGCUGAAGAAGGAGGUCUCCUUGGACACGUACACCUGGCAGAAGAAGUAUGGCCACCUGACCUCCUCGGUGAUGAUGGCCCAGGUGGAUGAGCGUCUGAAGCGUCGCUUCAGCGUCUCGGCCAGCAUGGAGGAGAUCUCGAAGAUCGCCGAGAACAAGACGGGAGCCUCGCAGGCGAAUUUGGGGCCGGAGCAGGCGGCUCUGGCCCAAUCGCAGCACUUUGACCAGCUGGAGGCGCUGUGGAACAAGCGGUCGCCGCCCAGAAGGCGUCACAAUGCGGGUCUCUCGAGGCAAACUUCGUUGGUGGAGGACCGUCUCGAAUCUUCGGACGACGAUGAGUACCAGGAUGAGCGCGCAGCCACCGCCCACAGUUCGAAAACCAGUUCCCGCAGCUCACUGCUCCCAUAAACAAUUGCAACCGGAACAGUAGCCACCAACGGCAGGCAGCGUGAAUAAAUACUACAAAUAUAAUAAUAACCCGCAAGAAAAACAAAAAUUGUAAACCAUUUAGAUUAGUUUCCCCACUCGAUUGGCAUGUUAUCUCCAGUGUUUUCCAAAUCGCAGCUAGUUCAACGUAUGUAGAGCACUUUGCAAGAACCCAACCACAGAACCAGAACGGCACUCCAAAAUUGACUAACUCCCCCAAUCUGGCUAAUUUCGGUUUAAAUUUCGUUUCUAGAUGACUUCGACGACUUCUUUCAGUGGGGAUAGGACGUUAAGAUUAGUUAAUUAGGAUAAAAUAUCACAUUGUUAUGGCUAGGGACUAGACACAUUUACCUUUCGAAAAUACGGGCAUACCUCAAAUGCAACUGCUGAAAAAAAAACACUUUUGAGAAUUCUACACAGUCUAUAGAGAACUCGUAAAAUAGCAUAUUUAUAACCACAAAAGAAAUAACGACCUCUGCACGGCCAGCUAAAUGCCAUCAAAUCAUUUCGCUUCAGGAGGAGGAGGAUACCACAAGGGAUAAGGCCUGAAGCAGCGUCAGCAGCACCAUCCAUUAAAUGGCAUACUUAUCCAAAAUGACAAUGGAAAGCAAUAACCCAUCUCCCAUUUAUCUUUGUAGAUGUAAACCAAUAACAUAACAUAACAUAGUUAAAUCUGAUAAACCACCGUCUCAGACUUUGUAGGAAUUAUAGCUUUAAGUGAGCCAAUUUCGACAUUUUAUUGUUGUAGAGUGUUUUAUGUACCUACUAGACCCGAGCUAAAUGUUGAUUGUAUUGACACAAUAACGCAAUAACUUAGAAUCUGUUCAAAUGAGAAAUGCAAAUACAAACUCUCUGAAGGGGUAAAAAGCGUAACUAUGCUUAAAAACACAAGUAAAAACAAGUGAAAACAAGAAAAGAAACACACACACACCGACACAAGCACAAAGACACGAACAUUGAUGGUUAGUUAAGGAAACAAGCAAAUGUAUAUAUUUUAAGCUAUGAUGUUCGCUGUAGAAUUAGUAUUACCACGACCUCAGUUCGAAAUGCACUUUUUCGGGUCAAGGGCUUGCACUUCCCGCGGAUAUAACUUCAAUAACUUUCUGACAAUCAGAGGUUCUAGCCUGGAACGAAAAAACAAAAAAAAAAACAAACAAACAACCACAAAGCAAAUCUACAACUGAGAACGACAAAUGGAUAUUUCUACACCGGAUAUUUCUAUGCAUGCCACAAGUGAAACUUCGUUAAAAAUAAGCAAUUAAUGUCUAUGUAGUCUAGUGUAGUGUCCACCUAGUGUAGCUGAGCCACGAGCAUCUCCCGAGGAACUAUGCAUCUGGAAACGGAAACAGAUACGGAUACGGAUACGGAUACGGCAACGGAAUCGGAAUCGGUUAGCGAUAUCGAAUAAAAACACACACUGAAAAAUGUACACCCUGUCUAUGUCUAUUAACUCGAAAUUAAACUCAACUUUACUGGAGAA